AGUGAACGCUGGCGGUAGGCCUAACACAUGCAAGUCGAACGGCAGCACAGUAAGAGCUUGCUCUUACGGGUGGCGAGUGGCGGACGGGUGAGGAAUACAUCGGAAUCUACUUUUUCGUGGGGGAUAACGUAGGGAAACUUACGCUAAUACCGCAUACGACCUACGGGUGAAAGCAGGGGAUCUUCGGACCUUGCGCGAUUGAAUGAGCCGAUGUCGGAUUAGCUAGUUGGCGGGGUAAAGGCCCACCAAGGCGACGAUCCGUAGCUGGUCUGAGAGGAUGAUCAGCCACACUGGAACUGAGACACGGUCCAGACUCCUAAGGGAGGCAGCAGUGGGGAAUAUUGGACAAUGGGCGCAAGCCUGAUCCAGCCAUACCGCGUGGGUGAAGAAGGCCUUCGGGUUGUAAAGCCCUUUUGUUGGGAAAGAAAAGCAGAAGGUUAAUACCCCGCUGUUCUGACGGUACCCAAAGAAUAAGCACCGGCUAACUUCGUG
rnacentral:rRNA from 1 species